rnacentral:ncRNA from 1 species
UAACGAUGGUGCUAUGGAGCAAUCUGUAUUGCUGGUUGUUAUAAGCCCUGGUGAAUGUCGGCCGUAACUAUAGACAAGCCGUUGUAGUUACGAAAAUAAAUCUGACCAUAUGCUGGAAACCCCGCAAUGAAUCCCGCAGUACUGCGCAAGCAGUGACAAUCUGUCGAGUGAUGCGGACAAUCAGCAGGAAAGGCCCGCCUUUAGCGGGAAUCCUCAGAGACUAGAUGUCAGAUAUGAAUGAGACAAAAUUGGAGCCGAUGUCUCAAACAUAAAGGUAUAGUCCGGCCCCUUAAGCGAUUAAGGG